UGAUAGAUGAUCAUGUAUGAAGACAAUGUUGCUUGUAUUGCUCAAAUCAGAGAAGGAGAGAUAUUAAUCAGGGGGAGAUAUCAAUCAGGGGGAGCAUCCCAAUUCUACUACAUUCAAGGCAUAUGCGCGUUGUACUCUUUUUCCCUUCGACUAGGUUUUUGUCCCACUGGGUUUUUCCUAGCAAGGUUUUAACGAGGCAAUAUAAGCUCAUCUAACACCAUAUCAAUGAUUCAGAAGAAAGUUUCACUCUUUUUCCCUUCGCUUUGGUUUUGUC
rnacentral:lncRNA from 1 species